rnacentral:lncRNA from 1 species
CUGGAACGACCAAGAGCCAUAAAUGAUAACAAAAAUCACCAGAUCCAAGCAAACACAUGAGUCUCAGAUACUUAAGAAGUUACCACCAUGCUCAACAACAAAGAUGGUUCUUGAAUGGAAGACGUAAAUUCAAGUCUAAUGCCGACUAGAAGAAUCAAAGAAGAAAAGAAAGGUGGAGAAAGCUGUCACAGUCAAGUACCAAACUAGAGCCAGGAGAUCUGAGCAUCAAUGGUAGAAGUCAAAAGCAUCGGACGAAGGAUCCUAUUUCCAGUGAAGACUAUGACAGAAUUGUAUGAUGUGACACCAUAUGGACCACGAACCACAAGCAUACUGUACACGGUCCUUCCCAGAAAACAUUUGCUGGCCCUGAACUAGACCAUGGAGAAAUACCAAGAUGCAGUUUUUCUAAACUCAAAGUUGGAGGAAAGUACAUACACUGAGCUGAGGAACACCUGGAAGUAUCAUGUUUAAAGGCACCGGUCAGGGGAAGCUUGGCUGAGGAGAAACAGAGAUGUGUCUGAUACAUUGAGAGCAAGAAUGAGGAAGUUCCUGGAACAGUAAUCACGAAGACAACCAAGGCCAAAAAGCACACAGCACAUUUUGUGUCAAGCCAAGCUCACCAGAGAAAUGCCAAGGCAGAAGAAGAAACUGAUUCAGGUAGGGGGACUAAGCAGAGUUUGUCCAAGCAGAUGCCUGACCAGUAAGACCUGUAAAUUCAUAUAUUUGAGACGUGUGGACUUACAGAGUCUGUGACUGCAU